UACGUAGGGGGCGAGCGUUGUCCGGAAUUAUUGGGCGUAAAGAGCGUGUAGGCGGUUCGGUAAGUCUGCCGUGAAACCUGGGGCUCAACCCCGGGCGUGCGGUGGAUACUGCCGGGCUAGAGGGUGGUAGAGGCGAGUGGAAUUCCCGGUGUAGCGGUGAAAUGCGCAGAUAUCGGGAGGAACACCAGUAGCGAAGGCGGCUCGCUGGGCCAUUCCUGACGCUGAGACGCGAAAGCUAGGGGAGCGAACAGG
rnacentral:rRNA from 1 species